UACGUAGGGUGCAAGCGUUGUCCGGAAUUAUUGGGCGUAAAGAGCUCGUAGGCGGUCUGUCGCGUCGGAUGUGAAAAUCCAGGGCUCAACCCUGGACCUGCAUUCGAUACGGGCAGACUAGAGUUCGGUAGGGGAGACUGGAAUUCCUGGUGUAGCGGUGAAAUGCGCAGAUAUCAGGAAGAACACCUAUUGCGAAGGCAGCCCUCUGGGACGGUACUGACGCUGAGACGCGAAAGCGUGGGGAGCGAACAGG
rnacentral:rRNA from 1 species